UGAAGCCCAAUCCAUCAGGAGAGACCAGACUCACCCAGCUGUCUGUCCGUGAAGAGUGACGGGUCUAUGGACGUUUCUAUGAUUGCGAAGAUGGAGACUUUUCUGCAUUUACAGGACCAAUCAAGCAGGAGAGACCAGCCUCCCCUGUUCCCAGCUGUGUGUCCAUGAAGAGUGACUGGUCUAUGAAUCGUCCUAUAGUGUUUAGAGAGGGAGACUUUUCUACUG